UAGCCUCGUGGUUAAGGCUAUGGAUCGCCAAUCCGGAGACGACGGGUUCGAUUCCCGU
rfam:Aedes albopictus isolate Foshan contig126683, whole genome shotgun sequence.